rnacentral:rRNA from 1 species
GCCUACACAUGCAAGUCGAGCGGUAACAGGAGAGGCUUGCUUCUCGCUGACGAGCCCCCGUGAAGGGUGAGUAAUGCGUAGGAAUCUACCCUUUUGUGGGGGAUAGCCCGGAGAAAUCCGGAUUAAUACCGCAUAAGCUCUUCGGAGGAAAGUGGGGGAUCUUCGGACCUCACGCUGAAGGAUGAGCCUACGUUGGAUUAGCUUGUUGGUGGGGUAAAGGCCUACCAAGGCGACGAUCCAUAGCUGGUCUGAGAGGAUGAUCAGCCACACCGGGACUGAGACACGGCCCGGACUCCUACGGGAGGCAGCAGUGGGGAAUAUUGGACAAUGGGCGCAAGCCUGAUCCAGCCAUGCCGCGUGUGUGAAGAAGGCUCUAGGGUUGUAAAGCACUUUAAGCAGGGAAGAAACGCUGUUGGUUAAUAACCAUCAGUACUGACGGUACCUGCAGAAUAAGCACCGGCUAACUCCGUGCCAGCAGCCGCGGUAAUACGGAGGGUGCAAGCGUUAAUCGGAUUUACUGGGCGUAAAGCGUGCGUAGGCGGCUACGUAAGUCAGUUGUGAAAGCCCCGGGCUUAACCUGGGAACUGCAAUUGAUACUGCGUGGCUAGAAUUCGGU